UACGGGGGGGGGGCAAGCGUUUGUUCGGAAUUACUGGGGCGUAAAGGGCUCGUAGGCGGCCCAACUAAGUCAGACGUGAAAUCCCUCGGCUUAACCGGGGAACUGCGUCUGAUACUGGAUGGCUUGAAUCCGGGAGAGGGAUGCGGAAUUCCAGGUGUAGCGGUGAAAUGCGUAGAUAUCUGGAGGAACACCGGUGGCGAAGGCGACAUCCUGGACCGGUAUUGACGCUGAGUGAGCGAAAGCCAGGGGGAGCAAACGGG
rnacentral:rRNA from 1 species